rnacentral:RNase_P_RNA from 1 species
UCAGUCGGCCGGACGGCCGCUCCGGCAAGUGCCGAAAGGCCGCCGGGGAGGAAAGUCCGGGCUCCCUUGACAUACGGUGCCGGAUAACGUCCGGCGGGGGCGACCCCAGGGAAAGUGCCACAGAGAACGAACCGCCCUGCUUCGCCUUCGGGCUUCGCAGGGUAAGGGUGAAAAGGUGCGGUAAGAGCGCACCGCGGCUGCGGCAACGGAGCCGGCAUGGUAAACUCCACCGGGAGCAAAACCGAAUAGGGACGGCGUAGCGGGCUGUUCGCGAAAGCGAUAACGCCGCGGGGCGAUGUCAGGCCCGCCGUCCGGGUAGGUUGCUCGAGGCCAUGUGCAAACAUGGUCCCAGAGGAAUGGCCGUCACGUAUCGUUCGCGCAAGCGGACGGUGCCCUACAGAACCCGGCUUACAGGCCGGCUGAUAUC